rnacentral:rRNA from 1 species
UACGUAGGUGGCGAGCGUUGUCCGGAUUUAUUGGGCGUAAAGAGCGUGUAGGCGGCCAGGGAGGUCCGUUGUGAAAACUCGAGGCUCAACCUCGAGACGCCGAUGGAAACCCCCUGGCUAGAGUCCGGAAGAGGAGAGUGGAAUUCCUGGUGUAGCGGUGAAAUGCGCAGAUAUCAGGAAGAACACCCGUGGCUAAGGCGGCUCUCUAGUACGGUACUGACGCUGAGACGCGAAAGCGUGGGGAGCGAACAGG